UACGUAGGGUGCAAGCGUUGUCCGGAAUUAUUGGGCGUAAAGAGCUCGUAGGCGGCUCGUCGCGUCGGCUGUGAAAACCUGGGGCUCAACCCCGGGCCUCAGCCGAUACGGGCGAGCUAGAAUUCGGUAGGGGAGACUGGAAUCCUGGUGUAGCGGUGAAAUGCGCAGAUAUCAGGAGGAACACCGGUGGCGAAGGCGGGUCUCUGGGCCGAUAUUGACGCUGGAGGAAGCGAAAGGCGUGGGAGCGAACAGG
rnacentral:rRNA from 1 species